rnacentral:rRNA from 1 species
ACCCGCUGAACUUAAGCAUAUCACUAAGCGGAGGAAAAGAAACUAACUAGGAUGUCCGUAGUAAAGGCGAUUGAAGUGGACAAAGCCCAAGAUGGAAAUCUUCGUGUUUAGCACGACGAAUUGUAAUCUAGAGAGGCAGUACUCAACGGGAGGUGGUGCAGAAGUGCCCUGGAACGGGCCGCCAAAGAGGGUGAUAGCCCCGUCUGUGGUGCCGCUUCUUAACGAGUAUGUCUUCAAAGAGUCGGGUUGUUUUGUAUUGCAGCCCUAAGUGGGAGAUAAACUUCUUCUAAGGCUAAAUAUAUAUGGGAAACCGAUAGCGAACAAGUACUGUGAAGGAAAGAUGAAAAGCACUUUGAAAAGAGAGUUAAAAGACCUGAAACCGUUGAGGAGGAAGCGGUAGAGAUGAAUUCUACGGUGAGGCAUGGGGAAGAUAGCUAAACUAUGGCGGGUGAAAGUACGUCAAAGGCAAUCAUUUGUCCAAGGGGAAGCUAUUGACUUAUGUGUUAUCGUGAGGCAAGAUGGAGUGAUAGUUUUGCAGAGGGCUUGUGAGUUUGGCUUGGCUUGCCAGGCAGCUUAUGAGUACCGGUAGAAUUAUGGCUUGAGGGUGCUUUGUGCGAUCUUGUCAAAAUGGUCUUUACCGACUCGUCUUGAAACACGAGCCAAGGAGUCUAACGUACAUGCAAGUAUGCUGGUUCAAAAACCAACAUGCGUAAUGAAAGUAAAAGAUGCCAAACGAAAGUGGCAGCAUCGACCGACCAUGAUCUUCUGAGAAAGGUUUGUGUAAGAGCAUGUCCGCUAGGACCCGAAAGAUGGUGAACUAUGCCUGCGUAGGGUGAAGCCAGGGGAAACUCUGGUGGAGGCUCGCAGCGGCUCUGACGUGCAAAUCGAUCGUCGAACGUGGGUAUAGGGGCGAAAGACUAAUCGAACCAUCUAGUAGCUGGUUCCCUCCGAAGUUUCCCUCAGGAUAGCUGGGACAAUUGCGCAGUUUUAUUAGGUAAAGCGAAUGAUUAGAGGAAUCGGGGGCUUCUUGCCCUCGACCUAUUCUCAAACUUUAAAUUGGUAAGAACCUAGGCCUUCCUUAAGUGAGGCUCUGGGGCUCAAUGCGUGUCCUUAGUGGGCCUAUUUUUGGUAAGCAGAACUGGCGAUGAGGGAUGCUCCUAACGUCGGGUUAAGGCGCCAAACUGCGCGCUCAUCAGAAACUACAAAGGGUGUUGGUCCAUCCAGACAGCAGGACGGUGGCCAUGGAAGUCGGAAUCCGCUAAGGAGUGUGUAACAACUCACCUGCCGAAUGGACUAGCCCCGAAAAUGGAUGGCGCUAAAGCGCGUGGCCGAUACCCGACCAUCGCCGCGAGAGUGAGGCGGCGAUGAGUAGGAGGGCGUGGGCAUUGUAGAGAAGCCUCUGGUGUGAACCUGGGUAGAACAGUGUCUAGUGCAGAUCUUGGUGGUAGUAGCAAUUAUUCAAAUGAGAAUUUUGAAGGCCGAAGUGGAGAAGGUUUCCGUGAGAACAGCAAUUGGUCACGGGUGACUCGAUCCUAAGACAUGGGGGAAGUCCCUGUUAAGUGCGCGCUUGCGCGUAGUCGAAAGGGAAUGAGGUUGAUAUUCCUCAAGCUGAAUGUGGGUGUUUUAUGGUAACAUAAGUGAGCCUAGGAACGCCGGCGCGAGCCUCUGGAAGAGUUAUCUUUUCUUUUUAACAGACUAACGGCCCUGAAAUGGAAUUAUUCCGAGAUAGGGCGGUAUGUCUGGAAGAGUGCCUCGCUUUCCGAGGCAUCAGGUGCGCUCGCGACGGUCCGUGAAAACUUAGGUGAGAUAGCUUCACAUCAGGUCGUACCCAUAACCGC